rnacentral:misc_RNA from 1 species
AACGCACCUUGCACUUUAGGAGUCAAUUCUAAAGUAUACCUGUUUGAGUAUCAUAAACAUUUAUCUGGAUGCAAUCCUUGUGAUUAGCAGUCAGGUUUUGAGGGUCAAUGACAUACAUAUAUAUGAGCAUUGUUCUUUUAAAUGUAGCGAGACAAAGGAUAGAGACUGGCUCUAUUCUCGAGUGAGGAUAUUUGCCUUGUGCAAAGGAUUCAUGAGAGAUCUAGCCAAUCAAGUCUAUAUUUUGAGUCUUUUAAAUAUAUACAUAUAUAUAUGUGAUAUGUAUGUGCAGUACAAAUGUGAUCUCAAAUCAGGCAAGAUUACCCGCCGAACUUAA